rnacentral:rRNA from 1 species
CCUACGGGUGGCUGCAGUGGGGAAUAUUGGGCAAUGGGCGCAAGCCUGACCCAGCAACGCCGCGUGAAGGAAGAAGGCUUUCGGGUUGUAAACUUCUUUUGUCAGGGAAGAGUAGAAGACGGUACCUGACGAAUAAGCCACGGCUAACUACGUGCCAGCAGCCGCGGUAAUACGUAGGUGGCAAGCGUUGUCCGGAUUUACUGGGUGGAAAGGGCGUGUAGCCGGGUUGACAAGUCAGAUGUGAAAUCCUACGGCUUAACCGGAGAACUGCAUUUGAAACUGUUGAUCUUGAGUACUGGAGAGACAGAUGGAAUUCCUAGUGUAGCGGUGAAAUGCGUAGAUAUUAGGAGGAACACCAGUGGCGAAGGCGGUCUGCUGGACAGCAACUGACGGUGAGGCGCGAAAGCGUGGGGAGCAAACAGGAUUAGAUACCCCAGUAGUC